rnacentral:rRNA from 1 species
AUUGAACGCUGGCGGCAUGCUUUACACAUGCAAGUCGAACGGUAACAGGCCGCAAGGUGCUGACGAGUGGCGAACGGGUGAGUAAUGCAUCGGAACGUGCCCAGUCGUGGGGGAUAACGCAGCGAAAGCUGCGCUAAUACCGCAUACGAUCUAUGGAUGAGAGCGGGGGACCGUAAGGCCUCGCGCGAUUGGAGCGGCCGAUGUCAGAUUAGGUAGUUGGUGGGGUAAAGGCCUACCAAGCCAACGAUCUGUAGCUGGUCUGAGAGGACGACCAGCCACACUGGGACUGAGACACGGCCCAGACUCCUACGGGAGGCAGCAGUGGGGAAUUUUGGACAAUGGGCGCAAGCCUGAUCCAGCAAUGCCGCGUGCAGGAAGAAGGCCUUCGGGUUGUAAACUACUUUUGUACGGAACGAAACGGUCCGGGUUAAUACCCUGGGCUAAUGACGGUACCGUAAGAAUAAGCACCGGCUAACUACGUGCCAGCAGCCGCGGUAAGAC